rnacentral:misc_RNA from 1 species
CCGAGUUAGGGUCUCUCAGGCCCCAUCUCCCAACCCUUGUGUUUAACUAUACCACGUUGCUUCGGCGGGCCCGUCUGUAGACCGCCGGGCAGUCUUCGACUGUCUGGCCCGUUGCCCGUCGACAGCCCCCAACCCCAAACUCUUGUUAAAACAUGUCGUCUGAGUACAAACCAAAAAAUUAAAUUA